AGAUUUCUGUCUGCCUCUCAUUGGCAAACAUGACAUUUCAGCAAUUUCUCUAAAGAGGAAUGACUGGGGGGUAUGUACAGCAGGCAUCAUGUAAGAAAAACUCACACCUCACGACAUAUUUGUUUGAUUUAUUCAGCAGACUUCAGCAAAGGAAAGAUGUGAAAGCAACCCUUGAUUGUUGAUUUUUUGUUCAUUCUGAAAAUCACAUCGCCAGAUCCAACACCUUUUUAUCCCAAUCACCAGUACAAGCCACCCGUAUCAGUGUACACUGUGGCUGACCGAUCCAUAGUGAUGCUUUGAGCACAAGGAAGGACUUUCUGGAAUCUACUUAUCUGACCAAGAAAGCUUCUUUCCAAAAGAAAUGCAAUUGUCUUGAGACUUCUUCCCUAGGGAUCUGAUCAACUAACCAGAAAAGAGCAACCACCAGAGAAGAGACUAUUGUGGUCUACUCUAUAGAAGGGAUCAUGCUUUGAACCUCAUCUUGAAAGGAGAUUCAAUCUUUCCUUCUUGCUCCUAAUAUCAACAGAGGGUGGAAUAUAUGGUAGGCAUUCAGUAAUUAUUUUCUGUAUUACAUUAUUUUGAUUGUUACUCUAUGUUGUACUCCUAAAUUCAAACUGCAAAUUUCUAUUGAUUUCAUUGAUAAACACAUCUAUUUCACUAUAGUCUCAGUUCAUACAACUCUUAGAAUUUAUAUCGAUGUCAUUUAAAAGUCAGAAAAGUGACUUCUCUUUAAGAAAGAUAUUAUUAAGAUAAUUAUAAUAACUUUGGUAAGGAAACCUAUGUUUGUUGAAAAUUUUCUAAGUACCAGGAUUAUGCCAGACACUUUAAAAAUUUAUUUGUUUUCUUAAUUCCUACUUACAAAUGAGGCAAGUGAGGACCAGGAAGUUAAAAAAACUUUGAUAAGGUUCGCAGCCAGUUUAAUGUCAGAUCUAUAUAGGACCAAGUCUGUAUCAUUAGAAAAUCAAUUUUCUCAAAUGAAUUGAGUGGAAAGUUUUUGUAAUAAAUAAUACAAAUUUGCUUAUACGAGUGUUAUGUGGGCAUAUGGGUAUUUUCUGAGCUGGAUCAGAAAAACUGUUAUGGGGCAAGUAAUAAUAGUACUAUACAAUUUCAAUUAUUUUAAUAUUUGUAGGGAAUAUUACUCAACUAAAUAAUAAAUGUAUGAUAUGAUCCUGAAUUCUCUUAUUUCCCCUUUGUGUCUGCAAUUGACAAGAUAUUUGACAAUGUGUCUCAAGAUAUCCUUAGGAAUAAUACAAAGAAAUAUGGCCUAGAUGCUAAUGCAAUUAAGGUGGAAAGAAAGUGCUUAUAUUAUCAUACCGAGAAGCUAUUAAUAUGUUGAUUCCAAUCUGUUGCCAUUUUAUUAAUGCCUGUAAUGAAGAAUUAGAGAGUAUACUUAAUACAUUUGCAGAUGAUAAGGUUCAUUGAUAUGACAAAAAUUCACUGGAAAAGCAGAAUCAAAUGAUACAUAGAGAUUUGAUGAAUGGGCUAAAUCUUCAGAAACUGCAUUUGAAAGGAAUUACUAUGAAUUCUUGUCUUUUGUUUCAAAAACCUAAGUAGCAUAUUAGGAAAAGAUAAUCACAUGCAGAGAUGGAGAAAUUUGAAAAUUAGGAGGGUGUGUUGUUUCCUUUAGUUGUCACCUCAAGGUAAAUCAAAAAGGUAAUGUUGUUGCCUCAAACAAAUAAAACCCAUAGGCAAAAGAAAACUAGAAUUUCUGUGUAACACAAUCUGUGAAGGAAUCAUUUUCCUUAAUAAAUAUAGAAUCAUCCAGGCUUUAGAAGCUAGCAGCAAAUGAGAAUUCUCCAGGUGGGGAAGGGAAUCUGAUAAAAACAGAUUUUAUGAGAUUGUCAGUACAUUUGGCCUUUUCCUUAGAACUCAGCCACUUAGAAUACAGCUGCCUUCAGGAGGCUGGAUGACAACGUGCAUUGUUCCCCUCCAAUCCAAGCUAGGACAAAAAUAUUUAUUUUGCAUAUGCAUCUCAAAAUUGAGCCUGGUUGGAAUUUUCAGAGAUUUUUCUGAACACUAAGGGAAAAACAGAAGAGAAAUGGCCAGACACCAAGAAAUACAGAAGUAGUUUGUCUCGAAGAUGCAAGCCCAAGACUCAGACUCUGCCUUAAUCUACCAUUGUCCCGAAGUAGAGACACCUGCCUACUCUCCCAAAAGUUUCAUGGAGCUUAGUAGGUGCAAGGCCAAAGUUUCCUCUUUGAGACACAAAGUUAGCUCUCGCUCUUAGUGAGCCUCCCCUUGAGGAAUGCCACUUUUUGAUUCAUUUUUCGGGAACCAGCUGCCUAAAUACCUUGUUUUCCUGCUGCAUCCUAAUCUUCUGUUCAGUUCAGCAUUUAGGUCUGAGGAACAUAAAUCUUCAACAAUAAUUAGGCAGAUUUACACUGCAUGAAUAACUUCAAUUUCACCUUUCAGGUGAUUCUGUAUUUCCUAUACUUGGAAAGAAACUAUACUUUUUCAUGCACCAAGAGUAACAAUAUUCUAAUUCAAAAUGUGUCCUGCAAGACACUCUAUGAAAAGGGUCUUGUGUCAAAAAAUUUUGGAAGCACUGCUCUGUGUUUAUCCCUCAAGGAGUCUUGGACAUGAUUAUAAUAGCAUCUUAAGGGUCUAACAUGGCCUGCAAUUUAAAAAUCUCUUAAAUUUAAAUGUUCUAAAUCUCAAGUUAACUGAAAGUUUUCCAAGCUAAUUUGACCAGAGAACAGAUUAUGCACAUAAAUUGUGUUGUGUGUUAAUACAGCACCUAUUAACCUCCUAUGGAAGGUAGUUUGUACAACACUGCUCUUUACCAAAGAAGUGUACAGUCAGAUUUUACACAUAACAUGCGAUAAGCAGAUCACUGCCUCUCAGAAGUUAGUUUCUGAGAAUCAGAUGGGUCCUGCUCUGUAUGUUCAAAUACAUACUAUUUCAGUUUUGAGAACCAUUUUUCUUAGUAAUCUGGACAUGUAUGUUUUUUUUUCAAAUGAGAAGAACCAGAUUUUAAAAAAUGAUUGAAAUCAUGCCCCAUGAUAUAUAUUUGGAGUAACAGGGGAUGGGAUGUCUAGUAUGUAGAAGAGAGAUGUACAGUGGGGAAAAUGUCAUUGAUUGCCUCAGUAUUUGCAAUUGACAUAAAUCUAUGUGAAACCGGUUUUGGGGGGCCAGGCGGGGUGUCUCUUGCCUGUAAUCCCACCACUUUUGGAGGCUGAGUUGGGCAUAUCACUUGAGGUCAGGAGUUCGAGACCAACCUGGCCAACGUGGCAAAACCCCAUCUCCACUAAACAUACAAAAAUUAGCAGGGUGUGGUGGUACACACCAGUAGUCCCAGCUACUGGGGAGGCUGAGGCAUGAGAAUCGCUUGAACCCAGGAGGCAGAGGUUGCAAUAAGCCGAGAUUGCCCCACUGCACUCCAGCCUGGGCAACAGAACGCAACCCUGUCUCAAAAAAAAAAAAAAAAAUCCAAAACCAAACCAAAAACAAAUAAACAAACAAAAAAA